rnacentral:rRNA from 1 species
GGCCUCCUACGGGACGCAGCAGUGGGGGAUAUUGGACAAUGGGGGAAACCCUGAUCCAGCGACGCCGCGUGAGUGAAGAAGUAUUUCGGUAUGUAAAGCUCUGUCUUUGGGGACGAAAAAGGACGGUACCCAAGGAGGAAGCUCCGGCUAACUACGUGCCAGCAGCCGCGGUAAUACGUAGGGAGCGAGCGUUGUCCGGAAUUACUGGGUGUAAAGGGAGCGUAGGCGGGAUUGCAAGUUGGAUG